rnacentral:rRNA from 1 species
CAGCCGCCACGGGAAAACAGAGGGUGCAAGCGUUAAUCGGAAUUACUGGGCGUAAAGCGCGCGUAGGUGGUUUGUUAAGUUGGAUGUGAAAGCCCCGGGCUCAACCUGGGAACUGCAUCCAAAACUGGCAAGCUAGAGUACGGUAGAGGGUGGUGGAAUUUCCUGUGUAGCGGUGAAAUGCGUAGAUAUAGGAAGGAACACCAGUGGCGAAGGCGACCACCUGGACUGAUACUGACACUGAGGUGCGAAAGCGUGGGGAGCAAACAGGAUUAGAUACCCCGGUAGUCCCUGUCUCUUAUAC